rnacentral:rRNA from 1 species
CCCGCUGAACUUAAGCAUAUCAAUAAGCGGAGGAAAAGAAACCAACAGGGAUUGCCCUAGUAACGGCGAGUGAAGCGGCAACAGCUCAAAUUUGAAAUCUGGCGCAAGCCCGAGUUGUAAUUUGUAGAGGAUGUUUCUGGCGACGUGCCUUCCGAGUUCCCUGGAACGGGACGCCAUAGAGGGUGAGAGCCCCGUACGGUUGGAUGCCUAGCCUCUGUGAAACUCCUUCGACGAGUCGAGUAGUUUGGGAAUGCUGCUCUAAAUGGGAGGUAUACGUCUUCUAAAGCUAAAUACCGGCCAGAGACCGAUAGCGCACAAGUAGAGUGAUCGAAAGAUGAAAAGCACUUUGAAAAGAGGGUUAAAAAGUACGUGAAAUUGUUGAAAGGGAAGCGUUCAUGACCAGACUUGGGCAGGUUGAUCAUCCUUGGUUCUCCGCGGUGCACUCUGCCUGCCCAGGCCAGCAUCAGUUCGCCCCGGGGGAUAAAGGCUUUGGGAAUGUGGCUCCCUCGGGAGUGUUAUAGCCCACUGUGUAAUACCCUGGGGUGGACUGAGGUUCGCGCUCUGCAAGGAUGCUGGCGUAAUGGUCAUCAACGACCCGUCUUGAAACACGG